UUUCCCUCUCUUCAUCUCUAUGCUAUUGUCCUAUAUUCUUUGCUCUUAAAAAUAUGUGCCUUUUUUUGGGUAUGAUUCUUUCCUUUUAUGUAUUUCUCAAAAUCUAAAUUAUGAUAUGCACUUACAAUUCCCUCCAAGUAAAACUUCAUUUUGAUUUUUACUUCCAUUCAGUAUUUUUACUCAAAAAUAGGCUUUAUUAGAUAUUUCAUAUAAUCUUCACUUCAUAAUUUGAUUUUAUUGAUCUAAAAAUUUUGUAUAACUCAUUUUCUUCAUAACUUUUCUUAAUUUAUCAUACUCUUUUUAGCAUAUAUUUUGGAUUAUGGAGGUACGGAAUAUUUAGAAAAUUAUGCAUCUAGCUCAUUAAUCUAUUCAAUUGUUUUAUUGACCUUGGAUGAAUAAAGGUUGCUCCAUCUUGCAGGAAAAUCAUUUUAGGGAGUCGAGAACAAGCUCACAAGAUUAAAAUUCUAGCAGAUAUUUUAUUAAAUUUUUCUCUUUCUAGUUAUAAUGUACUUUGCUCAUAAAGAUCUGUCUGCCGUGUAUUAUGUGUAUAAGUGCUUGCCCUAUUCUAUCAGGAUCCAUUCAAUAUACUCAAAAUGUGGUGUCUUUAAAUGCUCAUGUAGUCAUGAUGAUGUGUAAUAUGUGUUUUUUUUUCAUUAGAUUGCUUAUGUAAUUAACUGGAAAUUACUUUUUCCUAAGAUCUUCUAUUUUUCUGUAGGGUGAGGAUAAUUGAGUUUGUUAUUUUAUUAGUUGGUGCAUACUAUUUG
rnacentral:lncRNA from 1 species